GCAGCGCAGUGUAGCAAUACAUGGGGCGGCGACCGGCAAACGGGUGCGGAACACGUACGCAACCUUCCUUCAAGUGGGGGAUAGCCCGGGGAAACCCGGAUUAAUACCCCGUAAUACUGUUGAGUGGCAUCACUUGACAUUUAUAGCUCCGGCGCUUGAAGAUGGGCGUGCGUCUGAUUAGGUAGUUGGCGGGGUAACGGCCCACCAAGCCUACGAUCAGUAACUGGUGUGAGAGCACGACCAGUCACACGGGCACUGAGACACGGGCCCGACUCCUACGGGAGGCAGCAGUAAGGAAUAUUGGUCAAUGGACGCAAGUCUGAACCAGCCAUGCCGCGUGGAGGAUGAAGGCCCUCUGGGUUGUAAACUUCUUUUAUCUGAGAAGAAACCGGACCUUUCUAGGGCCGUUGACGGUACCAGAUGAAUAAGCACCGGCUAACUCCGUGCCAGCAGCCGCGGUAAUACGGAGGGUGCAAGCGUUA
rnacentral:rRNA from 1 species